GGUUUCCGUAGGUGAACCUGCGGAAGGAUCAUUACCGAGUGCGGGAACCCAGUCGGGUCCCAAUCUCCCACCCGUGUCUACCACACCUAGUGUUGCUUUGGCGGGCCCACUCCUCCGGUGUUCCGCCGGGGGGGUCGUCCCGGGGCGCGGUGUGCCCCCGGGGCCCGUGCCCGCCAGAGGCACUCACUGUGAACGCUUUUGUGAAUGCGAGGAUUGUCUGAGUGACGAAAUGCAAUCGUUCAAAACUUUCAACAAUGGAUCUCUUGGUUCCGGCAUCGAUGAAGAACGCAGCGAAAUGCGAUAAGUAAUGUGAAUUGCAGAAUUCCGUGAAUCAUCGAAUCUUUGAACGCACAUUGCGCCCUCUGGUAUUCCGGGGGGCAUGCCUGUCCGAGCGUCAUUGCGAACCCUCAAGCACGGCUUGUGUGUUGGGCCGCCGUCCCCUCGUUUGGAGGGGACGGGCCUGAAAGGCAGCGGCGGCGUCGCGUCCGGUCCUCGAGCGUAUGGGGCUCUGUCACGCGCUCAAGGAGGGGUCCGGCCGGGGCCAUAGCCUCUGAAGGUCAAUUCUUCCAAGGUUGACCUCGGAUCAGGUAGGAGUACCCGCUGAACUUAAGCAUAUCAAUAAG
rnacentral:rRNA from 1 species